CACAUGCUACUGAAGGUUUAAAGAGUUCUCACCUGUAGCCCACAUGCUACUGAAGGUGUAAAGAGUUCUCACCUGUAGCCCACAUGCUACUGAAGGUUUAAAGAGUUCUCACCUGUAGCCCACAUGCUACUGAAGGUGUAAAGAGUUCUCACCUGUAGCCCACAUGCUACUGAAGGUUUAAAGAGUUCUCACCUGUAGCCCACAUGCUACUGAAAGUGUAAAGAGUUCUCACCUGUAGCCCACAUGCUAAUGAAGGUGUAAAGAGUUCUCACCUGUAGCCCACAUGCUACUGAAUGUGUAAAGAGUUCUCACCUGUAGCCCACAUGCUACUGAAGAUGUAAAGAGUUCUCACCUGUAGCCCACAUGCUACUGAAGGUGUAAAGAGUUCUCACCUGUAGCCCACAUGCUAAUGAAGGUGUAAAGAGUUCUCACCUGUAGCCCACAUGCUACUGAAGGUGUAAAGAGUUCUCACCUGUAGCCCACAUGCUACUGAAGGUGUAAAGAGUUCUCACCUGUAGCCCACAUGCUACUGAAGGUGUAAAGAGUUCUCACCUGUAGCCCACAUGCUAAUGAAGGUGUAAAGAGUUCUCACCUGUAGCCCACAUGCUACUGAAGGUUUAAAGAGUUCUCACCUGUAGCCCACAUGCUACUGAAGGUUUAAAGAGUUCUCACCUGUAGCCCACAUGCUACUGAAGGUGUAAAGAGUUCUCACCUGUAGCCCACAUGCUACUGAAGGUGUAAAGAGUUCUCACCUGUAGCCCACAUGCUAAUGAAGGUGUAAAGAGUUCUCACCUGUAGCCCACAUGCUACUGAAGGUGUAAAGAGUUCUCACCUGUAGCCCACAUGCUACUGAAGGUGUAAAGAGUUCUCACCUGUAGCCCACAUGCUACUGAAGGUGUAAAGAGUUCUCACCUGUAGCCCACAUGCUAAUGAAGGUGUAAAGAGUUCUCACCUGUAGCCCACAUGCUACUGAAGGUGUAAAGAGUUCUCACCUGUAGCCCACAUGCUACUGAAGGUGUAAAGAGUUCUCACCUGUAGCCCACAUGCUAAUGAAGGUGUAAAGAGUUCUCACCUGUAGCCCACAUGCUAAUGAAGAUGCAAAGAGUUCUCACCUGUAGCCCACAUGCUAAUGAAGGUGUAAAGAGUUCUCACCUGUAGCCCACAUGCUACUGAAGGUGUAAAGAGUUCUCACCUGUAGCCCACAUGCUACUGAAGGUGUAAAGAGUUCUCACCUGUAGCCCACAUGCUACUGAAGGUGUAAAGAGUUCUCACCUGUAGCCCACAUGCUACUGAAGGUGUAAAGAGUUCUCACCUGUAGCCCACAUGCUACUGAAGGUGUAAAGAGUUCUCACCUGUAGCCCACAUGCUACUGAAGGUGUAAAGAGUUCUCACCUGUAGCCCACAUGCUAAUGAAGGUGUAAAGAGUUCUCACCUGUAGCCCACAUGCUAAUGAAGGUGUAAAGAGUUCUCACCUGUAGCCCACAUGCUACUGAAGGUGUAAAGAGUUCUCACCUGUAGCCCACAUGCUACUGAAGGUGUAAAGAGUUCUCACCUGUAGCCCACAUGCUACUGAAGGUGUAAAGAGUUCUCACCUGUAGCCCACAUGCUAAUGAAGGUGUAAAGAGUUCUCACCUGUAGCCCACAUGCUAAUGAAGGUGUAAAGAGUUCUCACCUGUAGCCCACAUGCUACUGAAGGUGUAAAGAGUUCUCACCUGUAGCCCACAUGCUACUGAAGGUGUAAAGAGUUCUCACCUGUAGCCCACAUGCUAAUGAAGGUGUAAAGAGUUCUCACCUGUAGCCCACAUGCUACUGAAGGUGUAAAGAGUUCUCACCUGUAGCCCACAUGCUAAUGAAGGUGUAAAGAGUUCUCACCUGUAGCCCACAUGCUACUGAAGGUGUAAAGAGUUCUCACCUGUAGCCCACAUGCUAAUGAAGGUGUAAAGAGUUCUCACCUGUAGCCCACAUGCUAAUGAAGGUGUAAAGAGUUCUCACCUGUAGCCCACAUGCUACUGAAGGUGUAAAGAGUUCUCACCUGUAGCCCACAUGCUAAUGAAGGUGUAAAGA